GCUUUAAUUUAUGUUCAAGGUAGAAAACUGCUCAUGCCAAGAAUCCUUUCUAUUCUGUCUCCUAUUAUUUUUUAUGCUUAUUAUGGAAUUAUCUAUUCUUCCAAUUAAUGAAGAUAUGAUUCUGGGAUUUUUGUCAUUCAGUUCAAUAUUUGACUGUUUCUUUCCUGUAUGGACUUUAUACACUCUUUGACAUUUGACAUAUUUUUCAUUUCAUAUACAUGUCUGUUAAAAAAAGGUUGACGUUCAAGCCAUACGUGAAAAGUCUCUACUCAACUUGUGAUAAACAAGUAUAAUGAGCAUCAGAUACCAUUAUCAAGACAAUUCAUUGCUAAACAUAUAUUUCACCAAGGAAAAGCACACAACACAAUCAUGGAAAUGCUUCUCCUACAAGGCAAGGAGAUUCACAGAACAUUCAGAAGGAAAGCAUCGAAAAUGAGUUUCCAAGUGAUAAACAUGAAUUUUGUGUACCCAGGCAAAAAAUGUUUUGUCCCUAUUUGUCACAACAUUUGACAAAUGUUUCUCAUUGCUGUGUAUUACACACUAUACAAACGGUGAAGAAUCAGUAUACUUCACUUUUAUCA